rnacentral:rRNA from 1 species
UAGAGUUUGAUCCUGGCUCAGGAUGAACACUAGCGACAGGCCUAACACAUGCAAGUCGAGGGGCAGCACAUGAGUAGCAAUACGAUGGUGGCGACCGGCGCACGGGUGAGUAACACGUAUGCAACCUACCUGUAAGAGGGGAAUAACCCGGAGAAAUUCGGACUAAUACCGCAUAAUACUGAAUUACUGCAUGGUAAUUCAUUUAAACAUUUAUGGCUUACAGAUGGGCAUGCGUAUGAUUAGCUAGUUGGUGAGGUAACGGCUCACCAAGGCAACGAUCAUUAGGGGUUCUGAGAGGAAGGUCCCCCACACUGGUACUGAGACACGGACCAGACUCCUACGGGAGGCAGCAGUGAGGAAUAUUGGUCAAUGGGCGAGAGCCUGAACCAGCCAAGUCGCGUGAAGGAAGAAGGUCCUAUGGAUUGUAAACUUCUUUUGUAAGGGAAUAAAAAGUGGUACGUGUACCAUAUUGUAUGUACUUUACGAAUAAGGAUCGGGCUAACUCCGUGCCAGCAGCCGCGGUAAUACGGAGGAUCCAAGCGUUAUCCGGAUUUAUUGGGUUUAAAGGGUGCGUAGGCGGACCUUUAAGUCAGUGGUGAAAGUUUGCGGCUCAACCGUAAAAUUGCCAUUGAAACUGAAGGUCUUGAGUGUAAAUGAGGUAGGCGGAAUGUGUUGCGUAGCGGUGAAAUGCUUAGAUAUAACACAGAACACCAAUUGCGAAGGCAGCUUACUGGGAUACAACUGACGCUGAGGCACGAAAGCGUGGGGAUCAAACAGGAUUAGAUACCCUGGUAGUCCACGCAGUAAACGAUGAAUACUAACUGUAUGCGAUAUACUGUAUGCGGUACAGCGAAAGCGUUAAGUAUUCCACCUGGGGAGUACGUUCGCAAGAAUGAAACUCAAAGGAAUUGACGGGGGCCCGCACAAGCGGAGGAACAUGUGGUUUAAUUCGAUGAUACGCGAGGAACCUUACCCGGGCUUGAAAUGCAGACGACCGACUUGGAAACAGGUCUUCCAGCAAUGGCGUCUGUGUAGGUGCUGCAUGGUUGUCGUCAGCUCGUGCCGUGAGGUGUCGGCUUAAGUGCCAUAACCGAGCGCAACCCUUAUCAUUAGUUACUAACAGGUUAAGCUGAGGACUCUAAUGAGACUGCCACCGUAAGGUGUGAGGAAGGUGGGGAUGACGUCAAAUCAGCACGGCCCUUACGUCCGAGGCGACACACGUGUUACAAUGGGGGGUACAGAGGGUCGCUACCUAGUGAUAGGAUGCUAAUCUCAUAAAGCCUCUCUCAGUUCGGAUCGGAGUCUGCAACUCGACUCCGUGAAGCUGGAUUCGCUAGUAAUCGCGCAUCAGCCAUGGCGCGGUGAAUACGUUCCCGGGCCUUGUACACACCGCCCGUCAAGCCAUGGAAGCUGGGGGGACCUGAAGUACGUAACCGUAAGGAGCGUCCUAGGGUAAAACUAGUAACUGGGGCUAAGUCGUAACAAGGUAACC